rnacentral:rRNA from 1 species
ACAAGCAGCGAGCAUGUGGUUUAAUUCGAAGCAACGCGAAGAACCUUACCUAGACUUGACAUCUCCUGAAUUACCCUUAACCGGGGAAGCCUUCGGGGCAGGAAGACAGGUGGUGCAGUGGUUGUCGUCAGCUCGUGUCGUGAGAUGUUGGGUUAAGUCCCGCAACGAGCGCAACCCUUAUUUUAGUUGCUACCAUUCAGUUGAGCACUCUAAAGAGACUGCCCGGGUUAACCGGGAGGAAGGUGGGGAUGACGUCAAAUCAUCAUGCCCCUUAUGUCUAGGGCUACACACGUGCUACAAUGGUGAGAACAAAGAGACGCGAGACCGCGAGGUGGAGCAAAUCUCAUAAAACUCAUCCCAGUUCGGAUUGCAGGCUGAAACUCGCCUGCAUGAAGCCGGAGUUGCUAGUAAUCGCGAAUCAGCAUGUCGCGGUGAAUACGUUCCCGGGUCUU